rnacentral:tRNA from 1 species
UCCCUGGUGGCUCAGACGGUAAAGCGUCUGCCUACAAUGCAGGAGACCCAGGUUCAAUCCCUGGGUUGGGAA